AGUGAACGCUGGCGGCAGGCCUAAUACAUGCAAGUCGAACGGCAGCACAGCAGAGCUUGCUCUGUGGGUGGCGAGUGGCGGACGGGUGAGGAAUACAUGGGAAUCUGCCCAGUCGUGGGGGAUAACGUAUGGAAACGUACGCUAAUACCGCAUGCGCCCUAAGGGGGAAAGCCGGGGACCGCAAGGCCUGGCGCGAUUGGAUGAGCCCAUGUUCGAUUAGCUAGUUGGCGGGGUAAAGGCCCACCAAGGCGACGAUCGAUAGCUGGUCUGAGAGGAUGAUCAGCCACACUGGAACUGAGACACGGUCCAGACUCCUACGGGAGGCAGCAGUAGGGAAUAUUGGACAAUGGGGGCAACCCUGAUCCAGCCAUGCCGCGUGAGUGAAGAAGGCCCUCGGGUUGUAAAGCUCUUUGUCCGGAAAGAAAGCAAUCGGUUAAUACCCGGUUGUUCUGACGGUACCGGAAGAAUAAGCACCGGCUAACUUCGUGCC
rnacentral:rRNA from 1 species